rnacentral:lncRNA from 1 species
UAUUAAUGAACUGCCACCAAGUGGAUUCUUGGUCUCUCCGAACAAUAAUGCUGUCUCAAGAGCUCAACAUCAGCCUCUGCUACUAGCAGACUGACAACGUCAGGAGCUAGAACAGCUGUGAUGAGAGAGUCUGUGCUGUUGGUUAAAAUCAUAGCGCCAUCCCUGCCACCAUUUCCACUCUGUUUGUGGGUCCAUGCCCACUCUAGGAAUGUCGACGACCCAUGACUAAAAAGCGUGUGCCGAUUUACUUUGUCUUACCAGAGAACUUUCUCCAGAAGUAGAGAUUGGAAUUGAAAGGGACUUGGCCCUGAGCUAACAUCUGUGCCCAUCUUCCCCUACUUUAUAUGUGGGACGCCUGCCACUGCAUGGCUUGACAAGUGGUGUGUAGGUCCGCACCUGGGAUCUGAACUUGUGAAUCCUUGGCCUCCAAAGCAGAGUGCGAACUUAACGGCUGCACCACCAGACUGGCCCUUCCAGUUCUUUGUCUAUAAAACUAAGUUAAAAUGUGGCAAACGUGCAGGAUAGAUUUCUAAAUUUUAGAAAGUGCCUCUCAUACAGUAAAUACAAUAUAAGAUUUUAUGCUAUUAUUAUGCUAUACUAUAAUGUCAAGAGCUGUAUUCAAUGCACAGACAAAAUUUUACCAAUAAUGGAAAUAAAAAAGAACACAAACAUUCACAAUUUCAAUAUCCC